CCCCAUUCCCAUUAUCUAUGGGAGGCACCGCUAUGAGUGCCUCCCAAAUGCAUGUAAAUGCAUCAAAUUAUUACAAUUAAAUAAAGAAGAUACUUAUGACACAGACUAUGUGUCAUAAGUAUCUUCUUUGUAUGAUUGUAAUAAUU